rnacentral:lncRNA from 1 species
UUUUUUUUCAGAAUUUUUUUCCUUCAAUCGAUUACAGUUGUUUUAUUCCUCAAUUUUUUUUUGUCUUUACUAUCACAUGAUUCUUUGUCAAAAGGCAUUAACCCUAGCAGGCCCUUGUUCAGAAUUUGUUCCCCUCAGUCUUCUGAAUCCUACGCUCUCUCUCUCUCUCCUUAUUUGACCAAAUAUUCAACACUCUUUACUACUUUUUACCAACACAUCUUCCCAAUAUCAAAUCUCAUCAAUUCUCACCAAACCCUAUCAAUUCUCACAUCUAUUUUUUUUUAUUAUUCAUCAAUU